GGAUGAUGUCACCUGGAGCGAGUAGCGCGCGGCGUGGACCGCGAGCGGCGACCCCGGAUCCCGGCAGGGGCGCGCUCUGCCCCUCGCAGCGCUCGGGACGCCGGGGCCGGGCGGGCCGCAGGAUGAGGAGAAAGGCUGGGUUUGCAGUCGUUCAACAAGCAGCCGGCUACGGCCGCGCUGGGACUUGGGAUGGAGCAAGGUCGUCCCCGACAGGACCGUGGCCUCGAGUCCCGGGAGGAGCGGAGGACAGGAGAGGGGCGCGCGCAGGCCGCGCUGGGCUGCGAGCACCGCGGGCCCCAGCGGCUCAGCAGGCAGGCAGAGUGGACAGUGAGAGAGACAGAGAGAAAGGUCUUCCUUUUUUUGCCGUUGGCUCACCCUCCAAUGGCCGCUGCGGCCAGCGCACUGCACUGAUCCGAAGGCAGGAGCCAGGUGCUUCUCCUGGUCUCCCAUGGGGUGCAGGGCCCAAGCACCUGGGCCAUCCUCCACUGCCCUCCCUGGCCACAGCAGAGAGCUGGCCUGGAAGAGGGGCAACCGGGACAGAAUCCGGCGCCCCGACCGGGACUAGAACCCAGUGUGCCGGCGCCGCAAGGCGGAGGAUUAGCCUAGUGAGCCGCGGCGCCGGCCAAAAUAAAUAAAUCUUUUAAAAAAGGAAAAGGAAACACAAGUCCUGGUACCUUCCCUACGUCUCCCACUUCGACGUCGGCUGGAGCUGCCUGACUGGCCGGCUGUGAUGGUGCCGCCUCCCUGCCCUUACUCUUCCACUCCCGCGGCAGCAGCUUCCAGGCUGGUGGGACACCCAGCGCCAGCUCAACACGGAGCCCGAGGGGAGCUGAGCCCGCCUCGGCCUGCGAUUUCCACGCACCUUUCCUUUUCUCCCAGUCUCGAUUUCUUCAAAAUCCCCACCAUGGCUGCUGUUCUGCGGAGUCUUUUGUCCCUGAACUUUCUGAGAACCUCACCAGGAUCUGGACCAACUGCCAUCCUGGGACUUCCUGCCGCUGAGCUAUGGAACCACAUCACUUCCUUUUGCCACCACGUUUAAAAAAAAAAAUCACUGAGACAGAGGCUGUUCCCACACACAGGCUCAGUCUGCCAGUGCCGACAGCUGGGCCAGGCCAGAUCUGGGAGCCUGGAACACAACCUAGGUCUCCCACAGACGGCAGGAAACCCAGGUCCCCCCUCAUCACGGCUGCCUCCCGGACUCUGCAUUAGGAGGGGAGGUGGGACUCGAACUCAGGUACUCUGACACGGGACACGGGUGCCUGAACUGCCAGGCAGGAUGCCCACUAUUUCAAGUCCAUUCUGGUUAACAAGUCCUCAGUAAACUUGCUAAUAACGCA